rnacentral:rRNA from 1 species
CGCGUAGACGGUUUUUUAAGUCUGGAGUGAAAGUCCUGCUUUCAAGGUGGGAAUUGCUUUGGAGACUGGAAAGCUUGAGUGCGGAAGAGGUAAGUGGAAUUCCCAGUGUAGCGGUGAAAUGCGUAGAGAUUGGGAAGAACACCAGUGGCGAAGGCGACUUACUGGGCCGUAACUGACGUUGAUGCGCGAAAGCGUGGGGAGCGAACAG